CCUGGCUGGCCGGUCCGCCUCACCGCGUGCACUGGUCCGGCCGGGCCUUUCCCUCUGCGGAACCCCAUGCCCUUCACUGGGUGUGGCGGGGAAACAGGACUUUUACUUUGAAAAAAUUAGAGUGCUCAAGGCAGGCCUAUGCUCGAAUACAUUAGCAUGGAAUAAUAGAAUAGGACGUGUGGUUCUAUUUUGUUGGUUUCUAGGACCGCCGUAAUGAUUAAUAGGGACAGUCGGGGGCAUCAGUAUUCAAUUGUCAGAGGUGAAAUUCUUGGAUUUAUUGAAGACUAACUACUGCGAAAGCAUUUGCCAACGGAUGUUUUCAUUAAUCAGGAACGAAAGUUAGGGGAUCGAAGACG
rnacentral:rRNA from 1 species